AACUUGGUUGACCUGUAGCCGUAGUACAGUUUACCGCCACUAGAUGGCGGUAAAAAUUAAAGUAAAUUAAUGUCGAGGUGUAUAGGGGCGAGAGGGAACCAAAUGCUCGAGGCCAUUCGAAACUUGGAGCGUCUUAAGGAAACAAAAUCAAAAUACUUAA